rnacentral:rRNA from 1 species
CUCUUGAGAGCGGCGGACGGGUGAGUAAUGCCUAGGAAUCUGCCUGGUAGUGGGGGAUAACGUUCGGAAACGGACGCUAAUACCGCAUACGAUCUAAGGAUGAAAGCAGGGGAUCUUCGGACCUUGUGCUCCUGGAGCGGCCGAUAUCUGAUUAGCUAGUUGGUGAGGUAAAGGCUCACCAAGGCUACGAUCAGUAGCUGGUCUGAGAGGACGACCAGCCACACUGGAACUGAGACACGGUCCAGACUCCUACGGGAGGCAGCAGUGGGGAAUUUUGGACAAUGGGCGAAAGCCUGAUCCAGCAAUGCCGCGUGAGUGAAGAAGGCCUUCGGGUUGUAAAGCUCUUUUGUCAGGGAAGAAACGGUCUGGGCUAAUAUCCUGGGCUAAUGACGGUACCUGAAGAAUAAGCACCGGCUAACUACGUGCCAGCAGCCGCGGUAAUACGUAGGGUGCAAGCGUUAAUCGGAAUUACUGGGCGUAAAGCGUGCGCAGGCGGUUUUGUAAGUCUGACGUGAAAUCCCCGGGCUCAACCUGGGA